rnacentral:sRNA from 1 species
UUCAUCCAAAAGUUCUGUGUCGCAGACGCUCCCUUCCUACCCAUCGCGUGGUAGUGUGAGGUCGCAGUGCCUGUGACGUCUCGACCAUUCUCGCGGAGCCAUUAACAGCACCCCCAUUAAUGUCUUAUUUCCCGGUCGACAGAACUGAGAGCAACCCUUCCGAAUCCUUCGCCCUCUCUUCACGGGGAGGGCCGGCCCAUUUCCUGAGCUCGGUUCUUGGGACGAAGGGGGCCCUUGAGAUCCUCGCGAUCUCGGGCUUUCCUUCCGAACGGGGACUUUGUCAGCUCGGUGGGCUGAGGUAGUAGGGGGAGACGUCUUAUUCCCAAGCUUGGUGUAUUUGAGCCUCGUCGAGGCAUGAUCAUUGGGCAAAACCAAGACUAUUGUCUACAUU